GACAGAGGGUGCAAACGUUGUUCGGAAUUACUGGGCGUAAAGCGCGUGUAGGCGGCUAUGCAAGUCGGAUGUGAAAGCCCCGGGCUCAACCCGGGAAGUGCAUUCGAAACUGCGAGGCUAGAGUAUCGGAGAGGUUGGUGGAAUUCUCGGUGUAGAGGUGAAAUUCGUAGAUAUCGAGAGGAACACCGGUGGCGAAGGCGGCCAACUGGACGAAUACUGACGCUGAGACACGAAAGCGUGGGGAGCAAACAGG
rnacentral:rRNA from 1 species